ACUCCUACGGGAGGCAGCAGUGGGAAUAUUGCACAAUGGGCGCAAGCCUGAUGCAGCCAUGCCGCGUGUAUGAAGAAGGCCUUCGGGUUGUAAAGUACUUUCAGCAGUGAGGAAGGUGGGUAUGUUAAUAGCAUACUCAUUUGACGUUAGCUGCAGAAGAAGCACCGGCUAACUCCGUGCCAGCAGCCGCGGUAAUACGGAGGGUGCAAGCGUUGUCCGGAUUUAUUUGGGUUUUAAAGGGUGCGUGGCGGGCUAUUAAGUCAGUGGUGAAAUCCAGCAGCUUAACUGUUGAUGUGCCAUUGAUACUGGUAGUCUUGAGUACAGAUGAGGUAGGCGGAAUUGACAGUGUAGCGGUGAAAUGCAUAGAUAUUGUCAAGAACUCCGAUAGCGAAGGCAGCUUACUGGGCUGUAACUGACGCUGAUGCACGAAAGUGUGGGGAUCAAACAGGAUUAGAUACCCGGUAGGCACUGCU
rnacentral:rRNA from 1 species